GGAAGAGUGACAGAGUGGUCGAUCGUGGCAGUCUCGAAAACUGUUGUGCGUGUAAGCGUACCGGGGGUUCGAAUCCCUCCUCUUCCGCCA
rnacentral:tRNA from 1 species